rnacentral:tRNA from 2 species
GGCAAGAUAGCUCAGUUGGUAGAGCAGGUGACUGAAAAUCACCGUGUCCUCGGUUCGAUUCCGAGUCUUGCCACCA